AUUGAACGCUGGCGGCAGGCCUAACACAUGCAAGUCGAGCGGAUGAAGGGAGCUUGCUCCUGGAUUCAGCGGCGGACGGGUGAGUAAUGCCUAGGAAUCUGCCUGGUAGUGGGGGAUAACGUCCGGAAACGGGCGCUAAUACCGCAUACGUCCUGAGGGAGAAAGUGGGGGAUCUUCGGACCUCACGCUAUCAGAUGAGCCUAGGUCGGAUUAGCUAGUUGGUGGGGUAAAGGCCUACCAAGGCGACGAUCCGUAACUGGUCUGAGAGGAUGAUCAGUCACACAGGAACUGAGACACGGUCCAGACUCGUACGGGAGGCAGAAGUGGGGAAUAUUGGACAAUGGGCGAAAGCCUGAUCAAGCCAUGCCGCGUGUGUGAAGAAGGUCUUCGGAUUGUAAAGCACUUUAAGUUGGGAGGAAGGGCAGUAAGUUAAUACCUUACUGUUUUGACGUUACCAACAGAAUAAGCACCGGCUAACUUCGUG
rnacentral:rRNA from 1 species